rnacentral:rRNA from 1 species
CAAACCGAGAAGCUUGCUUCUCGGGGUUGUAGGACUGGACAUUGGAGUUACCAAAGUUCGACGUAGUCGAAGUCAGCUGGAAAGCUGCGCCAUAGAAGGUGAAAGCCCUGUAAACGAAACGGCGGACCCUCCGUCCAGGAUCCUGAGUACGGCGGAACACGUGAAAUUCCGUCGGAAUCCGGGAGGACCAUCUCCCAAGGCUAAAUACUCCCUAGUGACCGAUAGUGAACCAGUACCGUGAGGGAAAGGUGAAAA